CGUACAUUCCUCCCUCCCUUGACCCUUUCCAAAUUCAGUGUUUCCAUUUCUUUUCUUUCUACACCGCAAUUAGGGUUUUCUUCACUUCUUCAAUUUCCCUCUUUCACACUUUCCACCAAAGAUCCUCUUGGACUUUUUUCAUACCCUUUUCCUAAUUAAGUCUUACUCUCUUUAAAGCUUCAAUUUUUACACAAAACCCCUUUUUUUGGGACUUUUUCUUUCCAUUUACCCGUUCAAAUUUCUAUAUUUUUGACCAAUUGGGUCAAUUUCGACCUGAUCCAGUUAUAAUCGUGUUGAAUUGUCUGAAACUGAUUUCAAUUUUGUGUGAAGUUUGGAAAUAAAGAAGGGAGUUAUGGAGAAUUAAAGUUUAAAAAUUUGAAGCUCCUGACCCAGGGUCCUGGCUCCGCCACUGGUUUGGUUUGGUGAAAUUAGAAAAAGUGGUGAUUUUUAUCAUUGGAUUUGGAGUAAGGGUUGUUUUUGGAAAUGGAUAAUUCCAAAAACAGAAUUAAUGACAGUUUGGGUGUUAAUAAAAUGGGUAAGAAUAUAAGGAAAAGUCCUUUACAUCAACCGAAUUUCGGCAAUAAUGCGGCUAGACAACAGCCUCAGCCUCAGGUUUACAACAUAAGCAAGAACGAUUUUCGGGAUAUUGUUCAGCAGCUUACUGGAUCACCUUCUCAGGAACCUCCGCCUCGGCCUCCACAUAGGCCUCCGCCAAAACCACAGAGUAUGCGCUUGCAGAAAAUUAGACCUCCCCCGCUAUCGCCAAUCAACCGACCUCGUUUGCCACCGCCAAUGCCAAUGCCUGCAGCCCCUCCUCCACUUCCUUACAAUAAUGCACCUAGACCUGCUCAUUAUGGACAACCAUCGCCUACUCCUUUGACACCCGGGGAUUUGUGGGCCAAUACAACUGAGUCGCCAAUCUCUGCUUACAUGCGGUAUCUUCAGAAUUCGAUGAUGGAUCCAGGUUCAAGGGGUAAUCAAUUUCCGCCUCAGCCUCAACCACAUCCAUACCCUCAACAGCAAGUACAAGGAAAUUAUCAGCCUCAACCUCCUCCACCGGCUUUGCUUCCUAACCCUAACGUGCCACCGAUCCCUUCUCCAAGGUUUAACAAUGGUCCUGUACCGCCAAUGAAUGCCCAUAAUCAUCCAAUGCCUAGUAUUCCUUCACCACAUGGAAAUGGCCCUCCCCUUUUACCUUCUCCAACCUCUCAAUUUCUCUUGCCUUCUCCAACUGGUUACAUGAAUUUACUGUCCCCUCGGUCACCUUAUCCACUAUUGUCACCCGGCUUUCAGUUUCCAUCACCACUACCCAAUUUUCCGUUCUCACCCAUGGGACAGUCAGGAAUUUUAGGGCCUGGCCCUCAACCACCACCUUCUCCCGGCCUUAUGUUUCCAUUAUCUCCUUCAAGCUUCUUCACCAUGCCAAGUCCUAGGUGGAGAGAUCAAUAGUCUUCUCAAAUUGUGCAUACAUGUUUGAUUGGGGAUGCUUCCUUCUAACUGGACAGAUCUUAGUCUUGUUCAUUAGCAUGUAAUGUACAAACAAGUUGUAAGAGCUUUUUUUUUUGGCUGUUUUGUAGUGUUCAUUUCCAAUUUCUUUGUUUUUUUUUUAAUUUGAUAACCAUAAUGGUUUCGAUUCUUUUACUUUGACAAGUUUUACAUUAGGCAAUAUAUUAUUGGAGAUCGAACAACCCAAUUGAACAGUUGGACAGGAGCGCUGUAAAAUGAAAGACUGUCUGUAACUUGAAACGAUGUAGGAUUACAGACAAUACUUGUUAUUGUAGAGACAGAGGACUCUCUUCAUUUUACGGUUGAAUCUGUUCUCCAGCAACGUCCAGAAGGAUGAGGUUGAUGUUAUGUUGAUCACAACACGCUCACCAUUAAGGAUGCUCUUUCUGAUCGGAAUCGGUUCUCAGCAAAAUUCACCUUGAAUGGGAAGCAUUGCGAUAAUGAUCAAUGGCAGAUGUAUCCUAGAAGAUAUUGUAUCCUAGAAGAUGAUCAAUGAAUGUAUGAUAGGUUCAAUUUGUUUUUUGGAAGCUCUGAAGCAUUCUUUUUUAAAGUAAAAGGGAAAGCACAUGAAGACUAUUUAAGAUUAUUUCAACUUCAUUUGAGGCUUUUGUUAGGAAACAUGGUAUUGAUUGAAUAAAAGAAAAUGAGGAAGAUGGUACAAAACUACAAAUGAACCAAAAAUCAUGGAGGAGCCCCUUCAUCUCCUUUCAAUUGUGAACUGGAUUCUUUGGCUAAGGUGAUGGAAAACCUCUUUCAAUGUUAAC